UUAAGUUCAGCGGGUAUCCCUACCUGAUCCGAGGUCAACCAUAGAAAGUUUGGGGUUACUGGCCAGCGACCACCGGGGCCCAACAGCGAGAAGAAUUACUACGCUGAGGGACACGAUGGCGCCGCCACUAUUUUUGAGGCCCGCCAGUGCUGGCGUGGCCCAAGACAAGCAGAGCUUGAGGGUUGAAAUGACGCUCGAAC
rnacentral:misc_RNA from 1 species